AAAACUUUCAACAACGGAUCUCUUGGUUCUGGCAUCGAUGAAGAACGCAGCGAAAUGCGAUAAGUAAUGUGAAUUGCAGAAUUCAGUGAAUCAUCGAAUCUUUGAACGCACAUUGCGCCCCUCGGUAUUCCGGGGGGCAUGCCUGUUCGAGCGUCAUA
rnacentral:rRNA from 1 species